rnacentral:rRNA from 1 species
AUUGAACGCUGGCGGAAUGCUUUACACAUGCAAGUCGAACGGCAGCACGGGGCAACCUGGUGGCGAGUGGCGAACGGGUGAGUAAUACAUCGGAACGUGCCCAGUCGUGGGGGAUAACGUAGCGAAAGUUACGCUAAUACCGCAUACGAUCUAUGGAUGAAAGCGGGGGAUCGCAAGACCUCGCGCGAUUGGAGCGGCCGAUGUCAGAUUAGGUAGUUGGUGGGGUAAAGGCCUACCAAGCCGACGAUCUGUAGCUGGUCUGAGAGGACGACCAGCCACACUGGGACUGAGACACGGCCCAGACUCCUACGGGAGGCAGCAGUGGGGAAUUUUGGACAAUGGGCGGAAGCCUGAUCCAGCCAUGCCGCGUGAGUGAAGAAGGCCUGG